ensembl:sense_intronic Gm16227 predicted gene 16227
AAGACUCAGGGGUCUCUCCCUAGAGUGAGAAAAAAAGGAAAGGAAAAGAGGGAGGGAGAGAGAAGGGAACUUGUUGUCAUCAAGUCAUCUCUGAAUAUCUUGGCAUGGAAUAAUGUCAAAAAUGUCCUCAAAUUACCCACUUCAUUUGCUACACACUUAAAAACGCCCGCCUUUAGUUCUCCCACAAUGAAGUUUCCUAAAUAUUGUAUUUAAAGUACCGCACAAUGGAAGACUGGAAACUCAGUCCCUCGCCCAUCGAGUGACUCACGUCUCCGUUGAUGGUGCCGGCGUAGCUGCCCAUCACAGAUUGGGUGCAGGCAGAGCCCACAUGCUGCAUCGGACUCUGCGAGGCCACGAGACACAAUAACGAGUUGGCAGACCAUGAAGGCUACUUCCUCAGCAAGUUGAGAGUGCGGCCUACAGCAUAUUUCUCAGAUACUUGACAAUUCACCAUUCAAGGGCCAUAAGAAGUUAUGGCAGAGGUCAUCAGUCUAACAUCGCCCAGUAAAAAGAUGUGGUAAACAGCAGGUAUCCAAUAAAUUAUUAACUGCUAAUGAGAAAAA